AUAAAAUCCAAUAAAUGGUCCAUAUAUUAGUUAAAUCCAUUCCAAUGCCCUAGAUUUGAUCCUAGCUAAUUUUCCCAAGAGAUAUUUGACCAUUUAGCACCUUAAAACCCAUCAACCAUGAGUUCACGGCCGUGAACUCAUGUGGUUAUAGUCAUUAGGGCCGUAAACCCUCUUGUGAGUUUACUCUUGGGGAGUAAACUCCAUAUCCAAGCCUUAUAAGUCCGUAGAUGUCACCCGGGUCACUCCAAACACUUAAUUUGAAGUGUUUUCGCGUCUUGGAGUGUAAAAUCUUAUCUAAUUAGUAAAUUAAAGUCUAAUUAGAUACAUUUGUGUAUCAUUCCAUAUUACAUAGGAACCUCGCACGAUAUCAAGCCUCGAACUGACACUUAGCAUCCUAGACGACACGUUCUUCGACUGGUGAGUUCAUACCCCUACCCUUUUUCCGUGUUUUUCAAUGUUUUCAGGGAGGGGAAUACAAGCAAACUAUAAAUGUUUUCAAAAUCUAAAACUGAUAUAUUUCUAUAAAUAUCUGGCUAACCUUUAGAUGUCUUUACUCUUAUGUAUUAUGCUGAGCAUAAGGGAUGUUUUAUCGAUUAUAACUACAUUGAUUUCAGUAAAGGAAACAAUCAAAUCAAUCAAAUUAUUAUGGGAAUAAUUUGGGAUCUUUAGUUCUUGUUCAAUGAGUUCAGAUUUAUGUAAAGUAUUUAGAUAAACUAUGUCUGAUUUAGUUUAUCUCUGUUUAUUGUAAAGUAUUAUGUCGGAUAGUUUCUUUGUAUUAAACUGUUUUUACCGUAUUAUGUUCCAAAGUGAUUAGUAUGUUUUGAUAUCAUCCGAGAACACUGUGAAUAAUUUAGUACUAGCUUGUGAGAUUCGUCAUUACCCUUUGGGUUAUCAGUAAAUCCUCCCCGGAAGUGUAACCAGAGUCUCCUGGAGGGAGAGCGUGGAAUUUGUGAAUAUAUCUAUUCGGGACUGACAAUCCCACACCUUAACUGCUAGCUACAGUUUGGUGGGCACGCCUGGGGUGACAAAUUCUAGAUAUCGUUCGACGUCUGACGAACGUCAAGGAGGUCUCGGUGUCGCAUCAGCAUGGUUACCCGACUCACAAUACGCAUUAAUAUAAGUUUAUUCACGGAUUUGAUUUUAUAUCUAUUUUCAAACUAUAGUAUCUAUAUCUAGUGUGGGAUGUUAGUCCCAUGGUUUUCAAUCUAUAUCUAGUGCGGGAUGUUAGUCCCAUGGUUUUCAAUCUAUAUCUAGUGCGGGAUGUAUUUCCCAUGACUUUUAAUCUAUAGUUUUUGUGUAUUAAAACUAUGUUAUAUCUAGUGCGGGAUAUUAAUCCCAUGGUUUUAAAAUCUAUAUCUAGUGCGGGAUCUUAAUCCCAUGGUUUUGAAUCUAUAUCUAGUGCGGGAUAUUAAUCCCAUGGUUUUGAAAUCUAUAUCUAGUGCGGGAUAUUAAUUCCAUGGUUUGAAAUCUAUAUCUAGUGCGGGAUCUUAAUUCCAUGGUUUUGAAUUUAUAUCUAGUACGGGAUAGUAUUCCCAUGGUUUUCAAUCAAUAUUUUUAUGUAUUAAAAAUAUCUACUGUUAUACUGGAUGAUAAUUCCCAGUGGUUUUUCAAUAUAUAGUUUUAUGUAUUAAACUAUACAGUGUGGUAUUUAACUAAACUUUACUUUUAGGAAAAUAAGGGUUUUUCCUGGGAUAACAAACUGUACAUAACCGGAUCGUAUGAAAAUCAGAUAACUAAACUAUACUUAUAAGAAAAUAUGGGGUUUUCUUGGAUAACGAACUUUUCGGAAAACCAAAGGAAACUUGUACAUUUUCAGAAAACAAACCUCUUAUGAACUCACCAGCUUUAUGCUGAUUUUCAAACUGUUUGUAUUCUCAGGUCCACGUUAGACAGGUACCCCGCAAUCCUUUUGGCGAAGACGGAGUGCAUAGAAGACACGUCUUUACACUUGUCCAUAUGAUAUGUAUAUGUAUAACACAUGUAACUCUUGUCUUAAAGAAAAUGUAAAUGAGUCUAUGUAAUGUAAAGUUUUGUGUUUACUAUGCUUACUAUGUGCAUUGGAUUUGAUACUCAACGUGGAGUCCGCCACGAAAAUGUUUCCGCCUUCGGUUUUUGGGGUGUGACAGAUUGGUAUCAGAGCCUUUGUUUAUAGUGAACUAGUAUACCAAACCUUACAUGUUAUAAGACUAUAAACAUGAAGGGGCCUAAGUGCUCUGAACUAAAAGUAUACUUCAAAGUAUAAGUAUUUUCAAAAGUAUACAAGUAUACCUAGCCGUCAAAAUCCGUAACUACAAAUAGAACAAAACAUAAGUAAAUGGGUGUUGUACGUUGCGGUUAAACCUGGGCAGUUAUGUAGUCGUGUCUAGGGUCAAUAUAGCCUGGCCAACUAUAUUCAUUCGAGACACCGCCAACAUGUGCUUGUGAGUGACUGUGGUAUGCGGCAUGCCUAAAACUUACCCAAAUACCACAAACAUCGAGCCAGUGUCGUAGCGAACCAUGAAAUACUAUGGGAGUAUUUCUCGAGCCAAUCCUUUGUAGAAAUCCUCAUUCAUGCGUUAUUCCUUGAUCAUUCCUUUAGCGAUAAUUUAUCUGCUUGAUAACUCUUUCUUGCUUUAUCGCUUAUUCAGAAUAUGUACCUGUGAUAUCUCUUGACUCAAUUCAGAGGACUUACCAUCCUCUCUUUCCUGAUCUUAUUGGAUCAAGAUGCCUCCAAGAAAGAGACCCAGCUCAAAGACCAACAACCCUCCACCACCACCUCCUUCUGAAUUCGACCCUGUGAUGCUCCAGGCAGCGGUUAAUGCCGUAGUGGCAGCUGCUAUGUCUCAAAGGAACUCCGGUGGUUCCGGUGGUUCGGGAGGUGGUACCCAAACCCAAAACCAAGAAGGCAGUCAGGGACACCGAAAAGAGGAUUCCUAUAAAGAUUUCAUGAACGCGAAACCCACGUCCUUUGAUGGCACUGGAGGUGUCAUUUCCCUCACCCGAUGGUUCGAGAAAAUCGAAUCAAUCUUUGAAAUAUGUGCCUGUUUGGAAUCUGAAAAAGUAAAGUUUGCCGCCUGCACCUUCAUUGACAAAGCCCUAACUUGGUGGAACGGCCGAGUCAAAUCCUUAACUCUACCUGUAGCAAAUGCUAUGGGUUGGGAAGUUAUGAAGGAGCUUCUGCGUGUGGAGUACUGCCCUCGGGGCGAAAUGCAGAAACUGGAGCAUGAACUUUGGAACCUGAAGACGAAGGGUUUCGAUAUCGUCGCCUAUACCUCUAGAUUCGAUGACUUGGCGCUGCUCUAUCCGGGAAUGGUUACCCCAGAGAGUAAAAAGAUUGAGAGGUUCAUCUGGGUGUUGACCCAGCCAAUCAAAGGAAAUGUCUUGGCUGCGAAGCCAGACACCUAUGACAACGCUAAAUGUAUGGCGCAAACCCUGAUCGAUCACGAAGACAACCCCGAUGAGGAGACUACCACUCCUGAGCCAGUCGAAAGUAGAGGUGGAAGUAAAAAGAAAUUUUGGACCAAACGGAAGGCCCAAGGAUCACAAGGAUCCUCUAAGAAACAGCAAACGGUAGCAGUCCACGCUGCUACUGCCCCUGUUGUUGUUUCUGCUGUCGGAUCCACGGUUCAGACUCCUACCAGUGGAUACACCGGUACCUUCCUUGGUGCAACAAGUGCAGCUACCAUCACCGUACUCCUGGGCCAUGUCGUGAACGUCUCUACAACAACUGUGGCAAGAAGGGCAACCUUGCUCGAAACUGCAGAAAACCAUCCCAAUCAACCAACCAAUCAUCCGGAGCAGGCGUCGGCCAGGCCUGCUAUAAUUGUGGUGAUGUUGGACACUUCAAGAGGAACUGCCCCAAGGAAGCAACAACUGGAAACACUGGAAGAAUUCUAGCAAUAGGACGAAAGGAGACAACCGCUGAUCCCACCGUCGCCGCAGGUAUAUUCUUCCUCGACAACUCUUAUGCCUGCAAUCCUUUUCGAUUUUAGGGUUGAAAAGAAAAAUCUGUUAGCUAUUCAUUCGUACAUCUUCUUAAUCUUAGCCCUCCGUUAGUAAAUGAAACAUUCACCAUCGAGGCGACUAACAGUGGGAAAGAGAACUUUAUCGAUACAUCAGUAGGUUGUACCUGUACUCUGAACGACCAUUCCUCAUCCAUUGAUCUUAUGCCAGUUUCCAUAAACAGUUUUGAUGCUAUCGGUGGCAUGGAAUGGUUGAGUCCUAAUCGUGCUAAUACCCUUGUAUUGAAAAAUUCAUCCGUCCCAAUCUCCUCUCUGGUCAGACCCUCAUGAUCAACAGCGAUGAAUUCGGUUCCAACCUUCAUAUCAUUUCGUGCACCAAGACUCAAGAGUUUUCCUCGAAAAGAGUGCUAUGCAUUCCUAGCCUAUGUGAACCGCAAGAAAAAGGGAGUUAGAGACCUCGAGAACAUCCCCGAAACCUGUGAUUUUCUUGAUGUAUUUCCUGUAUAGCUUCCGGGAAUUCUUUCAGAACGUCAGAUUGAAUUUCGCAUCCGCAUCGCUUAGCUCCAGCAGAAAUGCAGGAGAUAUCUAGUCAGCUUGAUAAGUUGACCAUCAAAACCGAUAUCCUCUUUCCUCGAAUACAUAACCUUUUUGAUCCACUUCAGGGGACCAGCCACUUCUCAAAGAUAAACUUUAGGUCAAGGUAUCAUCAGCUACAAAUCCAUGAGAAUAAUGUUUCUUAGACAGUAUGCAGGACUCGAUAUGGUCACUAUAAGUUCGUAGUGAUGCCCAUCGGUCAAACCAUUUUCCUUGGUCAUGUAGAAGACGAUGAAGUCAUACGUAUGGAAUCCUCCUAAGAUCAAAGCAACAGAGAAUUAGUCGGCACCAAAGAUACCCACAGAAAACCCGUAAAUUCUUGGGUCUCGCUGGCUACUAUUACAGGUUCAUCCAGAAUAUUUCCUGAAUCGCCAAAACCCUAACCAUUCCGACACAGAAGGAUGUACCCUCUUAUUGGAAGUCUUACUCUAGAAGGACAUGGAACGCCUUGGAAAGCGUAGAAAACUUUACUCGUGCUACAUUAGACCCUUCGAGAUCCUCGUAAGGAUCGAUUCCAUAACCUUCAAACUCCAAAUACCUUCAGAACAUAGCAACAUCCAUCCGGUAUUCCACGUCUUUAUUCAUAAGAAGUGCCGACCCAACGAAACCCUAGUAAUCCCUUUGAUGAGACCGAAAUCAACGAAAGUUUGAACCCUAUGGAAGAACCAAACGAAAUCAUAGAUUGAAAGGUUAAACGUACGAAACAAAGCCGCAUCCCAGUAGCGAGGGUUUGUUGGAAUGUCAAGCGGAGACCCGAUUCCACUUAGGAGCGUGAAUACCCGAAGCAGUAGAUUCAUCCACAUCUCUCUUUUCAAUUCAUGAACCGUAUCCUAAUCUUUUAAUUUCGGGACGAAAUUCCCUCUAACGGGGGGAUAAUGUGACAACCCGAAGUUUGUCCAUCGUCGUAACCCAUUUCGUCCGUAAAACCCAUCUUUAAUGAUUCAUUUCGAUUUCGUUUUUGGGCUAAGUUAUUUAAAUUUAUAUGUUUAUUAUAACCUCAUGAGUGUCCAAACUCCUUAGAAACUCAUGUAAACGGCCCAAAUUAUUUAUUUGAAAAUUUUUAGAAUCAUUCCCCCCGGGUUACGAUAACUUUAUCGGGUGCGACCAAAAGCAUCGUAUAACGUCAGUAUCGGGUAGAAUUCCACCGUGUCCAAAACUUAGAACAUAUUUAAAGCUCGAAAGACUUCAUUUUGAAGUUUUACACUCUCUCACUACUCUCUCUCUAACCUCUCUCCUCAAACCAAAGAUUUAGGUCCAAAAAUCAUCCAAAACAAGCUUCAAAUCAUCAAGGUAACUAUCCUAGCUCCUAGUAUAACACCUUUGGCCUUCAAAUUCGUGAAUUAUAUGAGAAAUAGGACCAUAAACAUAUGUUUACGGCCCUGGAACAUCCUUAGGCCGUGAACACAUGUAAAUGGGGUUUUUGAGCCAUAAAACCCUUCCAAACCUCAUUUGGGGCUUAGAUAUGACUUAAGGGCUUAUCAAAUCGGACUUAGAACACCUUGGACAUCAUUUUUGAGGAGUAAACAUGAGUUUACUGCCCAAGAACAUGCUUGGGCCGUAAACUCAUAUUCAUGGGGAGUAAACUCAAAUCCAAGUGUUUAAAUGCCACUUAAACACACCAAUAGCCUUGGAUUAAAUUCUAGAACCAACCAGAAUCGAUUUAAGGGCCUUAAACAUGCUAGAACAACCCCCAUAGGGUCUUACGGCCAUAAACCCCCCAAGAAUGGGUUCUUAGUCCGUAAACUCCUAAAACAUGGUCAAAAGGUGCCUUAAACUCAUUCCAUGGCUUGUAGAAUUAACUAGAAACUCUUGUAAAGACCUAGGACCACCAAAGCAUCAAAGGAAUGUGUUUGGGGGAGUUUACGGCCGUGAACUCCUAGUUUACUACCAUAAAAUCCAAUAAAUGGUCCAUAUAUUAGUUAAAUCCAUUCCAAUGCCCUAGAUUUGAUCCUAGCUAAUUUUCCCAAGAGAUAUUUGACCAUUUAGCACCUUAAAACCAUUCAACCAUGAGUUCACGGCCGUGAAAUCAUGUGGUUAUAGUCAUUAGGGCCGUAAACCCUCUUGUGAGUUUACUCUUGGGGAGUAAACUCCAUAUCCAAGCCUUAUAAGUCCGUAGAUGUCACCCGGGUCACUCCAAACACUUAAUUUGAAGUGUUUUCGCGUCUUGGAGUGUAAAAUCUUAUCUAAUUAGUAAAUUAAAGUCUAAUUAGAUACAUUUGUGUAUCAUUCCAUAUUACAUAGGAACCUCUCGCGUUAUCAAGCCUCG
rnacentral:lncRNA from 1 species